CUCGGAUCUUGCUACUGCUUUAUGAGUAAAGUAAACAAAGACGGAGGCAGAGAGCAGCUUCGGAGGAGAAACAUCCAGCAGUGUGAACAACCUCUUCAUAUUGAGGUCUUUGGCUUACACUAUCGGCAUUUCCUGUGAGUGUUGCAUGACUUUUGGUGAGCACAGAGAUACACACUAUCAGACACUUAUUUGUUUGUUUUUAGAGCUGCUUCUGUACUGGCACUAAUAUGGGGCAGCUGCAUACCCUUUCAACACUUUAUUUUUUAUAUUUACAUUUGUAUUGACAGUGUAUCAUGACUGCCACUUGUUUUACAGAAAGCAAAUUAUUGGUCAUUCUCCAGUGCCUUUACUUUUAUUUAUACAGCCGCUUUAUUUCAUUUGAGAUUGUUUGUUCAAGGUUUUCAAUAAUGUGGUGAAGGUUCAGAAAAAUAAAAGAUAGCGUGCUUGAAAGCCACAUGUGUAAGCUCUCAAAUACUUUUUGAAUUCUGUUUCUAUUUGCUACAGAGGCUGAGAUAUCAGUUUUUUCGUAAACCUCAAUACUUCAGGAAACCUCAGGAUCUGGGGGCCCUUCUCAAAAUGGCCCUCAGAAUUUCAGGAGCAUGUCUCAGACAGGGUUGAUUGUCUUUUGCAAUGUUGGAGGUGGAGAAUCUGCACCUAAAGAAGUGUCUUUCCUGAUGCAAUAACUGGAUUUUCUGGAGGUGUUUUGUUAAUGCUCUAUUGAAGGAUUUGUGCAAUUGAGAAAUCAAAGUUUCUAUUUUAUUGUUUUUAUGUUGGAGAUGGAGAUUAUGCACCUUAAAAAGUGUCUUUCCUGUUCUUGCACAAGAUAAAUAACUAAAGUGUUUUUUUUUUCUAUGAAAGGAUUUGUGCAAUUGAGAAAUAUUUCAUUUUUGUUGUUAUGUUGAUAAUAAUAAUACAAAACUAUCUUAACUGAAAUUUUGAAUUGAAAACAGAAUUUUAUUUAAUGGGUGUGUUUCCUACGGGAAGCUACGGAAGCCCUGAGCGAACAUGGUUUAUUAAAUUUUUUUUUUACCCUGUUCUCUCGAGAUCCCGAAUUAAUUUGCGGUGGACUAGAAACAUUGGGCUGAUCACUGUAUGUGGCGCGGUGUCUAUGGUGUCUGCCUUCUGCGACA